rnacentral:rRNA from 1 species
UGCGAGUCGUUGUAGCAAUACAAGGCGAACUACUCAGUAACACGUAGUUAACCUAACCUAUGGAUGGGGAUAACCUCGGGAAACUGAGAAUAAUACCCAAUAGACCACAGUGCCUGGAAUGGCCUGUGGUUGAAAUGAUUUAUCGCUGUAGGAUGGGACUGCGGCCUAUCAGCUUGUUGGUGAGGUAAUGGCCCACCAAGGCUAUAACAGGUACGGGCUCUGAGAGGAGGGGCCCGGAGAUGGGUACUGAGACACGGACCCAGGCCCUAUGGGGCGCAGCAGGCGAGAAACCUUUGCAAUGUGCGAAAGCACGACAAGGUUAAUCCGAGUGGUUUCUGCUAAAGAAACCUUUUGCUAGUCCUAGAAACACUAGUGAAUAAGGGGUGGGCAAGUUCUGGUGUCAGCCGCCGCGGUAAAACCAGCACCUCAAGUGGUCAGGAUGAUUAUUGGGCCUAAAGCAUCCGUAGCUCGUUUUGUAAGUUUUCGGUUAAAUCCAUACGCUUAACGUAUGGGCUGCCGGGAAUACUGCAUAACUAGGAAGUGGGAGAGGUAGACGGUACUCGGUAGGAAGGGGUAAAAUCCUUUGAUCUAUUGAUGACCACCUGUGGCGAAGGCGGUCUACCAGAACACGUUCGACGGUGAGGGAUGAAAGCUGGGGGAGCAAACCGGAUUAGAUACCCGGGUAGUCCCAGCUGUAAACUAUGCAAACUCAGUGAUGCAUUGGCUUGUGGCCAAUGCAGUGCUGCAGGGAAGCCGUUAAGUUUGCCGCCUGGGAAGUACGUACGCAAGUAUGAAACUUAAAGGAAUUGGCGGGGGAGCACCACAAGGGGUGAAGCCUGCGGU